rnacentral:tRNA from 1 species
GAAAAAAUGUAUGAUAUUAGCUGCUAACUAUUUAUCAAAGCGGUUAAAUUCCGUUUUUUUCU